AUGAACAAGUCUUCGGAGUAAUCUCCGGGGAUCUCAAAGAUUCUUCUGCCCCUUCAAACUGGUCCAUUUUUUUUCUCUUGUUGAUGUUUCUCAUGUGAAGAUGAGAUUGCAACCAAGUCAAGAUGUGGCUCUUGGGAUCUCUGAGGGGGCAAUUGGCCAAUCAGUUUAUCUUACAGAGCUAGCAGAAGUAGUUUAUCUACAACACCAGCCAUCCAAGAAACAGAACCCACUUUGUUUGUGAGAAGAGGAGACAGGCCUGCAAUUCUUGGAGUGAUGGCAAGAGAUAAGAUGGCCAGGCAUGCAGGACAGCUUUAGGGGGACAGCAAAAGGCAGUCUUGAAAUCUGGCUCUCCCUCAAGCUUGCAGUUGCAGCACCCAACAGCACAACGAAAGGAGAGAAGAGACGACCGGUAGGUAAUCUAGUGCCCUGGGGCUGCAACCCACCAUUGAUCUCUGGAGAUCCGAUAAGGAUCUCGAUAGCUGCAGGCCGUGUGUACGGUUUGCGAUAACCUAGUACAAUGA